GGCCUCGUAGUUCAGUUGGCUAGAGCGUUGGCUGUACUGCAGCCUUCCCCUUGCUGGUGUGAGUUCGAAUCCCACCGAGGACG
rnacentral:tRNA from 1 species